UGCCCGAUAGUAUAAGGGUAGUACGACAGUUUUUGGUACUGUUUGUCUUGGUUCGAAUCCAGGUCGGGCAACAA
rnacentral:tRNA from 1 species